AAAAACAAAAUAUAGAAAAAUUUCAUAACCCCAUCGGAUAUAUACACAAGUAAAAAAAAUAGUUCAUAUAUACAAAUUUUUUAUUUACUAUAUUAAAAUAUUGAACAAAUUCUAUUAAAAAUCGUUUAUAUAUUCAAAACAGAAGUAAAAGUUCCCUAUUUUGUUUUAGAAAAAUAUUAAUACGUGAUUUAAUAUUUUCUAAUUUUGUAACUUAAAUAUGUCUCUCUUUUUAUUUCUUAAUAUUAUUUCAUUUUAUUUUUUUCUCAAUUACAGAGUUCUAUUCGUUUACCACAAAAUUCAAUGAGAGGCUCUGUCUGGUGCGUCUUUUAUAGAUGUUGUAUGUUUUCCUUGUCUUAUCUUUCUUUUAUACUUUGAGAAAUCCCGUAUUAUAUAUAAUUAGUAAAGGCAUGGUAUAUGGAAUGUAUAUAAUUGAAAUAUUCUUUUGAAAAAUACCGAUUACUAUUUAGAAUUUUUAUAUCAUCACAACAUUUCUCACACCAGCAUAUUUGGACGAGUCUUAUCUAAUAAAAUUAUAAACCACUCUCAGAUUUUGUGUUAUGACAUAUUUCAAAGAUUUAUGGAAACAAUUUGAAGGUCUGUAACAUUGUAAGACUAAAUUCAAUUAUGGACUCGAUGUUUCAAGGUGUUAUUCAUUAGAAGUGAAGAAUGUAUAAACAUGGAACCCAAAUGCAACUUCUCAAAUGUUAUUACUAUAUCUUCUUCUUUUUUUAAUUAUUAUUAUAACAUGUAACGUAAGCUAAAAUUUUAA
rnacentral:sRNA from 1 species